rnacentral:rRNA from 1 species
GAUCCUGGCUCAGGACGAACGCUGGCGGCGCGCCUAACACAUGCAAGUCGAACGAGCGAGAGAGAGCUUGCUUUCUCGAGCGAGUGGCGAACGGGUGAGUAAUGCGUGAGGAACCUGCCUCAAAGAGGGGGACAACAGUUGGAAACGACUGCUAAUACCGCAUAAGCCCACGGUGUCGCAUGGCACAGAGGGAAAAGGAGCAAUCCGCUUUGAGAUGGCCUCGCGUCCGAUUAG